rnacentral:tRNA from 1 species
CGUGAUCGCGGGCUUGCUGGGCGCCAGUCCGCAAGUGCUGGCUUCCCUUGCGCCCAAAUCGGUGA